GGGGCAGUGGUGAGAGAAGACUGUGGAUUCCAGAGUAGGCAAGCCUACCUUUGAAUCUUGAUCUCUGCCCUUUCAAUGAAGUAUCAGGCAAGUCCCCGACCAUCUCCGAGUCUCCUGUGUAAAAGGCUUGUAGGAGGGUUGAAAUUACCCCGGGUGUGCAAUAUCUGACACAGUAUAGGAAUCCUGUACGUGUUAGCUCCAUCCCGAGAUGCCAUCUGAGACUCACAUGAGACCUUUGUCCAUGUCCCUCUAUAAAUGUGCCUUUACAACAUGCCAUGGUCCACCCCACUCCCAACCAUUAUUUUCCGAGCUCAUUGGCCAAGGAUGGGUGAGAGGGAGACGGGAGCGGAAAGGCCCUCGGGAGGAUUCAUUCCUGCGGCAUCUGGAUACAGAUCAGAUCUCCUACUUCCAUAACAUGCACGUUUCAUUUAGAUACACAGGGGGGCCCGCAGCGGCGGCGUGGAGCCCGCAGGAGAACAGCGCAUGGGGGAAGGAUGAAGCUGACUGGCGGAGGAGCAUCCUGCCUGCUGACGCAUCGGUGGAUUUUUGCUUCUGGUCAUUAUUUCGGCUCCUGGACUCUGGUGCCACGAGAGGCCCCUUUAUCAACAGCAGGAGUCCUGCUGUCCAGCAGACCUCUUCCAGAACCUUCCGGAUAUGGUUCGCCCUUGUCAAGCAAGGGGCUUUCUGAGUUCAGAGGCAGAGGCAGUCGGCUGGGACGUCAGGAAUUCACGGGCAUGGCCGGCAGCUGCUGCAUGCAAUGAAGCUUGUAGACACAGGGAGCUGAAAUGUAGACUCGUUAAAGUUACCGUGGAGGAUCGCUCCGAAAUUCAUUCUGAUAGCUUUUCCUGAAGUCUAAAUGCCACCACAUAUGAUGCUGCAAUACGUUCUUUCCUUUCUCUCUCACACGCAGGGGUUCCCUUGUGUUAAGUCCUAGAGCACAUUAUCUGUCUUCAUCUAUGAGGCGGUCACUUUAUCACGGUCUUCAGGGAUUACACAAUCUGAGGUUGUGUGGUUUCCCGUGUCUCACUCUCUAGAAGGAACUAGUCAUUUGAGUUUUUAAGAUUUCUCAUAUCUUUCCAGACCCCUUGUGCUCCAGCAUCUCAUUCAAAGAGAGAAACAGUUAUAUUGUCCUCAUUCUUGGUGCCUAACUAAAUUACAAAUGAUUGAAAAAAGAUGGCUAGACUUAUCUUGUUAUUUGGAAAAAAAUCUCUCUCAUACCCCCAAAUAAAUGUUUUUUAUAUUGUCAAAUGGUCUUUUUUAAAAAAAAAAAAAAAGAAAGCAAAAACUUUCAUCAUAUUUCUCUAAGUAGGAUUGAGGAAACCAUAUAUUUAGGGAUCCGAAGUAGCCUUGGGCCCCAAAUCUGUGGUAUCUGUUCCUUUGAAAAGUCCAUCAUGAUGAUUCCCUACUUGACUUUUCCUUCUAGUAUAAAAAUAAACAAGGAGAUGGAGUUCCCGUCGUGGCUCAGUGGUUAAUGAAUCCGACUAGGAACCAUGAGGUGGAGGGUUCGGUCCCUUACCUCGCUCAGCGGGUUAAGGAUCCGGUGUUUCCGUGAGCUGUGGUGUAGGCUGCAGACUCGGCUUGGAUCCUGAGUUGCUGUGGCUGUGGCGUAGGCCAGUGGCUACAGCUCCGAUUAGACCCCUAGCCUGGGAACCUCCAUAGGCCAUGGGAGCAGCCCAAGAAAUGGCAAAAAGGAAAAAUAAAUAAGUAAAUAAAUAAACAAGGAGAAAGAUUAACGUAGUUCUUAUUCAUACAUUGUGUUCCAUUUCCAUGUUUUAAAUUGAAAUAAAAUUGAGGCAAUAUCAUAUAUGUCACAAUUAAAAUGGAAAAAUUAAAAUUUGACGACCAAAAAACACUGUUCUAGAAGCUUGACUUGGCAACAUAUUAUGUGAUCUUCAAUAAGUUUUUUUAACCUUCAGGGCUUUAAU
rnacentral:lncRNA from 1 species